GUGCAUAAAUGUAUAUAGAAGUUAUCAUUAUUCCUCAUAUUCUUAUGUAAGAGUUGACUACAAGUAUAAACUGUUUUGACCUCUUUUUAUACAUUAUAUAAGAGUGUUUCCUAACUUCUCUCUCCAAUAGAUUUACUACACAGCAGAACAAUGUUCUUUCAGUUUUCUGUGACUGGGUCUUUCCUAUCAGCAGGUGGGGGUGUGUGAGUGAUGGAUCCUCCGCUAAUAAAUCGUGGGGAGUUUUUGAGGAGGUGCCGCUGUUAUCAGAAGGAGCUCAUUAGAUGCCGCCUUGACCUUCACAUAUUCACAAGUGUUCAUUAUUAUGCUUUAUGAGAAUGUUUACUUUGCUGCACCAUCUACCACCCCUUUUAGAAACAUUGUGUAACCAGGGACAAGACUAAAUAAAAGAGACUGGGCGGAAAUACCUUUAGAGUGGUUUCGACAUGGUACCUGAAGCUAUCUCGGUCCAUUCUCCUCGAGUAUAUACCAUUGUCUUUCUCUUCUUUAUAUGUUAUCAGGUAAAUGUUGCAGGUUUUAGACCUAACAUUUCUUUGGUCCUUCGAGCCGGAUUCCAAUAGACCAGACGAUUCCAGCAGGUGAGGUGGACGACAGAUAAGACCGUGGCCACGGCAGACUCUUUAGGAUGAGUCUUGAAGACCUCUUUGAGGAACUGGACUCGACCUGCCUGCUGGGAUCCGACGGUUGACGGAAAUCCGAAGCCAAGGGGAAAGACAAGUGGUGAGUUGGUCUCUUAUAAAAAGGAACGUGGAAUGAUUGAGAUUCGCUUCGCGUAGAGAAUCUAUAAAAGACCAAACAAACAAAAGGACGCACAGGUCCUACGUAUAAAAAUCUGUGGAAAAGGACGCACAGGUCCUACGUAUAAAAAUCUGUGGAAAAGGACGCACGGGUCCUACGUAUAAAAAUCCGUUGAAAAGGACGCACGGGUCCUACGUAUAAAAAUCCGUGGAAAAGGACAAACGGGUCCUACAAAUCCGUGAAAAAAGGACGGUAGAGUCCAAAUUGGAAAAUUUUAAUUCAAGGACGCACGGGUCCUACAAAGCCGUUAAAAAAUUCUGCAGAACAAAACACGUGUUAAAAGUGUGAUUGUGAAAGUGUGAGAGUGAUUGGAAUAGGCAUAUAUCACUAGAUAUAUCCUAUUCAUACCAAAACAGUGGGAUUGUAAGUAGUGACCUUAUUGUGGAAGCAAAGGCAAGAAUUCUCCACUCGCAAGAGUAGAAGUGAGAAUUACCACAUAAGGAAUUUUUAUCACUACCCCAUUGAAAGAACCCAGCUUAAUAGGACACCCUAGGUGUCACCUAAGCUGGACCAAAACACAUAAAAAUGGGGACGGAAACCAGUAAGGCUAAUUUGGAAGAAUUAAGAUGUCAAGAUUGGAGAAUCUUUGAAAAAGAGCCAGAAAAAUUACAAUUCCUCGAAUUAUGGGUAACUAAAUUUGGAUUCGAUGGCAGCCUAAGAACAAGCCAAUUAAAUAAACUACACGACUCCAUAAGCAUAAAAUAUGGGUGUCAAAUGAUUGAUGAAUGGAAAAAAGUAGCAAAAGCCAGAGAGGAUGGAGAAAGGAGGAGAAAAAAGGGAAGAACAAAUGGAGCUAGUGCAUUUUUUGCAGAAGGUGACAAUGAAAAUGAAGCCUUCUAUCAAAAUGCAAGAGGCAGAAGCAGAAGAGGAUUCAGAGGUAGAGGACAAGAUAGGCCCAGAUCAGGAGGAGCAAAUCAAAGAGGGACAUGUU